GACGAACGCUGGCGGCGUGCCUAACACAUGCAAGUCGAACGGAAACAGCUCGAAGCUUGCUUUGGACUGUUUUAGUGGCGGACGGGUGAGUAACGCGUGAGGAACCUGCCUUCUAGAGGGGGAUAACGUCUGGAAACGGACGCUAAUACCGCAUGAUAUUCCGAGAUCACAUGGUUUUGGAAUCAAAGGAGCAAUCCGCUGGAAGAUGGACUCGCGUCCGAUUAGCCAGUUGGCGGGGUAACGGCCCACCAAAGCAACGAUCGGUAGCCGGGCUGAGAGGCUGAACGGCCACAUUGGGACUGAGACACGGCCCAGACUCCUACGGGAGGCAGCAGUGGGGGAUAUUGCACAAUGGAGGAAACUCUGAUGCAGCAACGCCGCGUGAGGGAAGAAGGUCUUCGGAUUGUAAACCUUUGUCCCCGGUGACGAUAAUGACGGUAGCCGAGGAGGAAGCUCCGGCUAACUACGUGC
rnacentral:rRNA from 1 species